AACCUAGCACACCUGCGGUGUGUACCUGCGGAAGGAUCAUUACCGAGUUAUACAACUCAUCAACCCCUGUGAACUUACCUACAACGUUGCUUCGGCGGGAACAGACGGCCCCGUAAAACGGGCCGCCCCCGCCAGAGGACCCCUAACUCUGUUUUUAUAAUGUUUUUCUGAGUAAACAAGCAAAUAAAUUAAAACUUUUAACAACGGAUCU
rnacentral:misc_RNA from 1 species